rnacentral:rRNA from 1 species
AUACGGAGGAUCCGAGCGUUAUCCGGAUUUAUUGGGUUUAAAGGGUGCGCAGGCGGCCAUUUAAGUCAGCGGUUAAAUCGUGGGGCUCAACCCCAUUCUGCCGUUGAUACUGGGUGGCUUGAUUGCGGUCGAGGUUGGCGGAAUUCGUUGUGUAGCGGUGAAAUGCAUAGAGAUGACGAAGAACACCGAUUGCGUAGGCAGCUGACCAGACCGCAAAUGACGCUCAUGCACGAAAGUGCGGGGAUCGAACAGGAUUAGAUACCCUGGUAGUCCGCACAGUAAACGAUGAAUACUUGUUUUCGGCGAUAUAAUGUCGGAGGCAAAGCGAAAGCGAUAAGUAUUCCACCUGGGGAGUACGCCGGCAACGGUGAAACUCAAAUGAAUUGACGGGG